GUUGCAUUUCCCCAGAAAGGCUCUUACCAUAGGCGUCUUCCUCAUCUCUUGCCAUCUUCCUUCCUCCCAUGCUUCUUAGAAGGCUCUCGGUUUUGGUUUUCUCAUUUGUGUGCUCAUUCCUGCAGCUGAGCAAAACCCAACCACAGAGUCAGGCAAAUUCUAAAGAAUACAAAGCAAGGCUUUUGUCUGCAAGGAGCCGAGCAUUUAGGCGUGCGCUUCCGUUUACAGGCACUUCGGGGGCACCUUUUGUCCACCAUAGUAAGUUCUUCUAUUCCUUCUUAGAGAUAGCAUCUGGAUUUUGAAGAAUAACAUCUAGGGGGACCAGAAAGAUGGUUGCAAUGCUAGCUUGACAACCUGAGCUUUCUCUCCUGACCUCAGGAAAGGUGGAGUGAACCAACGCCACAAAGUUGUCUUAUGAGUCUCCAAGCCCUUUGCUCUAAACUUUCCCCUUCUACUACCUAUGUUCUGAUUGUAACAUUAUCUGGUACAGCCAAGCACUUCCGGGUCACUUAAGCCUAAUUCUAGGAGUCCCUAAGCGCAAAGCAGUUCCCCCCCCCCCAGUCUGCUACUCUAACCUCUUAUUCAGCUAACAGGUCUCAGCCAGUGACUGCCCAGAAAUCAGAUUCAACCUCUCCCUGGCCUUUCUCUGGUGAUAGCUUUGGUUCCACAUUCCUGUCUGAGUGCUUAUCUGCAUCUCUCCACCAUUUCAUGCUCCAUCUCUUUGUCUCCACUAUGGGUGACAUGUUCCCUCCCUCUCUUCCUCCUGUGGGCACAACACCAGAGAAGGGUAAUGUUAACUCAAUAGCCUAUCUCCCACAGAAGGGCUUUGCAAACCAGAUGGGCUAAUACCCCUUCCAUCUCCCAAAGCCUUUAGUCAAACACUCUGUGGGAUUCCAUGUCUCUGUCCUGUGUGCAGAAAUCAGCAAAUGCCCACAAAUGACACAGAUCAGAACUGAAGAAACAGCCGUAAGAGCGGGAGCAAUGAGCAAGGUAAGAGCGAGAGCAAUGAGCAAGGCUUCUGCAGGAGCUGGAGGAGCUCUUCCUGGGGGAAAAUGAGGAGGAGGCACAGGGACUCCAUGGAAGCCCAGGGCAGGACGCUGGGGCUUCAGAGUUCAAAGUGGAGGCUGGGCUUCCUUUGAUAGUUUCUAAGAGAAAGGCAAACACCGAGUGAAAUCUCGGGCGAUAAAUGUUUCUAUUAUCUGGGAACAUAAAGCACAUGCAGUUCUAUAUGCUCAAGAGAGCCCAGGAUAGUCCAGGUCCUUGCCUACAAGCUUGAUGGGGUUUUGGUUUUUGUUUUUUGGGGCUUUUUUGUUUGUUUGUUUGGUUGGUUUGGUUUGGUUUUUGUUUGUUUGUUUGGUUGGUUUUGGUUUUUGGUUUUUUUGUUUGUUUGUUUUGUUUUUUUGAAGUAUUUAGGUGUUCCCCUCAACAUCACACUUCUUGGAUCUAUCCUCAGUUGUUCUGAUACAACAAGUAGUAUCUUUCUCACAAGCUUAAUCUGCAUCCAGAAUUUGAAGAACAUUAUUUCUUAAACCCUUCCUUGUAGACGCGGAGAAACAGAGGUAUCCCUGCAGUUGGAGUGGGACAAACUCCAGGAAGACAAGUGAGGACUAAUUCCAUUCCUCUCAAGUUUGCUAGAGCCCCUCCGACUGGAAAGGAGAAGAAGAGACUUCUGAGAGACAGACGUGGCCCAUGAGGAGUAGCCAUGAAAGCAUGGUUUAUAAGGACACAGAAGGAUCGUUUGCCUUGCUGAAUGUGCUUUUUUUUCUAUAGAAAGAAACAUUUAAUGAAAUUUCUUUCAAAAUUCAUCACUUUACUCUUUAACUUGUUUUUUGGCCAAAGUACACAGUCCUGGAAGGUACUAGGUAAAGACAUGUUUUUUCAAGACCUUUUAAGUUUCUUUGAUACACCAGACAUCACCAGCUAAAGAUACCAUACCAUGC
ensembl:processed_transcript Gimap1os GTPase, IMAP family member 1, opposite strand